AAACCCUCUAGAGGAAAUAGGACAGAAAGGUCACACAGAAGCAGUAAAGCCAAUGAUCUCUUAUAAAACAGUUAUUUAGGUUCUCAGUGGCACUGUUCAUCUUCUGGAAGGGAGAUCACUCCAGUCUCUGCCCAUCCCUGUGUCAUCAGCGUAGCUCUGGACUCUUGGAGUAGAAGAAGAAAGCCUAUUCUACCUUGUUGCUGCUGUACACUCAGCUUUCCUCUUGCUGAUGACAUGAUUCCUGUUUGAAUCUGUUGACAAGAUUCUGAAAGCUGAACAGAGAAUUCUGGCACUGCACUGGGUAGGAAAAAGCAUUUCAAGAAAUAGAUAAUAUCAAGGACAUCAGGACACCGGGAGUGGGAGAGAUUGGACUGGGAGACUCAGCAGAGGAGGCUAGUUGAAGAAAACAG
rnacentral:lncRNA from 1 species